CGGCAACAGCUCAAAUUUGAAAUCUGGCUCUUCUAGGGUCCGAGUUGUAAUUUGUAGAAGAUGCUUCGGGUGUGGCUCCGGUCUAAGUUCCUUGGAACAGGACGUCAUAGAGGGUGAGAAUCCCGUCUUGGACCGGCGUAGGGCCCGUGUAAAACUCCUUCGAC
rnacentral:rRNA from 1 species